UACGAAGGGGGCUAGCGUUGUUCGGAUUUACUGGGCGUAAAGGGCGCGUAGGCGGGUGCUCAAGUCAGGGGUGAAAUGCCAAGGCUCAACCUUGGAACUGCCUUUGAUACUGGGCGCCUGGAGAUCGGGAGAGGUGAGUGGAAUUCCGAGUGUAGAGGUGAAAUUCGUAGAUAUUCGGAGGAACACCAGAAGCGAAGGCGGCUCACUGGCCCGAGACUGACGCUGAGGCGCGAAAGCGUGGGGAGCAAACAGGAUUAGAAACCCCUGUAGUCC
rnacentral:rRNA from 1 species